GAUGAUGAUGAUGAUGAUGUUGAUGAUAAUAAUGAUGAUGACGAUGACGACGACGACGACGACGACGCGUAUUCGGGUGUAUCAGUCAUCAGACUCCACGCACCAAAAGACAGGCGCCAUGUCGUCGUUUUCUUCCUCGAGCAACCAACCGAUCGAUCUUCUUCAGUAGCGUAAUGUACGCACAACUAGCUGUAUAAGCUGUAAGAAUGUGAAAUUGAUAUGCUACGAUAUGAAAAAUUAAUAUUUUUGGCAUGAUAUCGGGUCGAGGUCGAAGUGUAAUCCGCUAUCAAUUACGUAAUCACAAGAUAACGUGGUCACCACGUGGUUUUAGCAUACUUGGUAAAUGAUUCGUGAAAAUAGAUAUCGAAUUAUAUGAAAUGCAUAAAAACGAGAAAUAAAGAAUAAAUAGUAACUAGUGGGAUUUAAUGUAAUUUUUAUUUAUUACGUACAGUUUUUUGCCAACUUUUUCAAGUACUAAUGUAAUCGAAAAAAACGGUUAUAAGCGUGGCAUGAGGCAAAGUUGAAUUUUCUCUCUUUAGUUUUCUUAAACUAACUUAAAUUGAAUAAAACACUUUAAAUGAGAGAUUUAAAUGAUUAUUUUUUAACUAAAUAAAUACUUGGUAAUGUUAAAAUGUCAUCUUUGGGAGGCAACUAGUUCUAAAGGAAAUGCGUUAAAUUUAACAAUAAAAUGGAAUAGUUGUCACCCCUACAUUGAGCGAAUUUUGCUCGGAUAAACGGCGCACCCAGUACUGAUGGCGUGGUGUUUAAUUAAAUUAGCCACGUUAUAGAGCAGUUCCCUGAGGUCAUUCCCGUGUCGUAUCACGUUUAUUUCGACGCGUCACUCUUACUCGUGAAUUUUUCUACCUUGCUGUGUUAUCUUGUGUGUGUGUGCGUGUGUGUGUGUGUGUAUCUCUCUGAAUGUAUACUAUUUUUAUUUGAGGAUGUUUACAUAUAUAGUAGUGCGUCACAUUUCUUCUAUUCACUCUGACAAUUAAAUGACUGAACUAAAGUCUAUUAAAUAUUCAAUCUAAACUAGAUAGAACAAUGUCAUCCCGAAUAUUAUGAUUGUACUUAACAAUAUAACAGUUAUAUUCCAUAUAUAUGUAUUCCACAACGUGAAAUGUAAAGAGAGCUGAAAAAGAUAGACUUUGGAGAUUUUAAUUGAAAGUCAUUAUCAGUUUAAUUAAUAUAUUAAUAUCUGUAUAUAAUUACGAUCCGAAAGCAUUUAACUUUAAAUGUGAAGACAUACGGUGCCUAACGUACCUUGUUCGAGCGUGGAUAACAGCGCACGCUCUUAUCCUUCGGAUGGAGGAGCUGUAGAGUGUAGACCCGCUCAUUUACUCGAAACGCGUCGAGAGAGAGAGAAAGAACAUGUGUCGCGUCAAGAGCCACGUAUAGCGCAUGCGCGAGCGUGGAUAGUCUGGCGCCAGCAGGUGCGGUUAAAUAUAGCUUAUGCAACGGUAUCCUCUCUUCGUUCGCACACUCUCUUGGCUCUCUCCGCCUUUUUCUCACUGUCCUCUCUUUCUCUUUCUCUCUCCCCCCUUACUUACCGAAAAAACACGUAAACACAUGGUUAAUAUGUAUAUGAUAUGAAAGUAUUUUCGAAGCUCAAAUCUUCUAAGCUAAUCGUUAUUUUAUUGGUAUGUCGAAAUAAUUGCGAUAGCUUUUAUUUUCAAUCCAACUUAAUUUCCAUGAAAUUUGUAUAUAAUUUUAUUUACGCUAAUAACGGGCGUGUAUCCAGAAAAAUACAAUCAAUUUAUAUUUUUAACGUUAUGCCAUGUACAACGUGUUGAAACAUUCAUAGUCGCCCUUAUAUUUGCAACAUACGUGACAUAAUUACAAUCGAUUAGAAAUAUAUGUAGUAAACUUGAUAAUUUACAUAAUUUAAUUCAAUAACGACAUUUUAUAAUUUAUAUACCAUGUACUUUUUCACAUCAUUAUCAUCAUUAUCGUUUUACAUAUUUUAAGUAAUGGAUAAGUGAAUCGUACAAUUUGAACGAUAUUGUACGCGAAAGAAAUCUUUUUUUCUAGUUAGGUCUUCAGGGACAAUGAGAAGAAAAAAGAGAGAAGGAAGCAAAAUCAAACGAACGUAAAUAACGUUCUACUCAUUUUGUGUAGGUUUCAGAAUAAUAAGAUUUUUAAUAAUUACGAUUAAUUAUUAUUUUCAACUUGGUAUCGACUUGGUUACAAGCAGAAACUUACGAUCGCGCCAAGUCAUCUACGUACUUUAAUACGUAUCUUUGUAUGAUACGUGCGGUAUGUUGAUCGAGAGACUUGAUUUGCAUCUGCAACAAACAUGGGGCCUGAGCCGCAUAUCUCGCAUCUUAUAAUAACCCGACAUUUCCAUUCAUCCAGCAUCCAUCUUAUUUCUCGCGUUUCUACGGAAUCGAAGGCCUCGCGACACACGUCGCAGGCGGAUUCAAGUAACGUAAUACUUAAUACUUGUAAGAUGUUUCUCAAGAACAAUUUGCUUCAUGAAUUUCCUAACGAAUUUUGGGAAUAAACUGUAAGGAUUUUCCCUUGCUCUUAAACUUGGUUAUUUAAAUACUUGGAAACGCUCUUUCACAGUUGCUUCUUCGUGUCGUAAUAUCUUUCUAAAUUUUCGGAAUUACAUAGACACGACUGUUUUCUCUCCCAACGAUAAAUUUUUUAAUAUACGAUACUUUCCAUUCAUCGUAUCGACAAUGUUGAUACUUUUUAGCAUUUUAUUUCUGUACUAUAAUCAAUAAGAAGUAAAGAAGAUAUGAAUUGUUCAGUUUUAUAUUAAAUAGGAGUUUUUUUAAGUAUAUGUAUGUUAUAUUCAGCAAUCUUCUCUCGAUAUCGAAACCAGUGUCAAAAUUAUCAAUCUAUUGAUACAGAUUGAUUUCGGUUUGAACAAGUGUUUUUCGAUAGCUCGUUGAAUAUCUCACUGAAUGUUAAAAGAAUCGUUGGGUAUCGAUACGCGUUAUUGUCACGUACAUCUACGUUUAUUUUAUUAUAAUUCGGCACUUUCUGCUUUUCGUAAAUGAAUAUUUCCAGUCGUCUUUCUAUACGAAGCAUUGCAAGAGAGAAUGUAAGAGAAAAUGAAGAUAUGACGUUGCCAAGUAUUAGACAACGCACAUAAAGAAAAGUAUACAGUACAAUUCUCUAUAUAAAAAUAUAUAUUUCUAUAAGAAACGUAGAGGACGUUCUCUCAAUUGUGAAUAUUGUCUGCCUAUACAUAUAUGGUAAUAUAAUUUUAUAAAAUACACGAAAAUGUGUGUUUGAAUGAGAUAACAUUGUUUUCUGCAAUAGAACGAUGCUUAUAAAAAAAUGAUGAAAAUUUUUCUCGAGAUUAUGAUUUUCGAGAUUUUGCCGAUUAUCGGUUUCCUAUCGUUUCUGCAACACUUGAGAUAAUGAGUGAUAAUACAAUAAUACGUACGAGAGCGCAUAGCGCGUAUUCUGUUACAAACCGACAAUAUCCCACAGUCUCUAGUUUACCAAUCGCCUCGAUCAAUUAAUUUUUUAACUUGUUUAUUUUCCCAUUGCCAUUUUAUUGCACAAAGGAAAAGUAAAUUAACUUUUCGUUAAAGUACUUGAUUAAUUAAGAAUUUACUCUCUCUCGAUUUCUGAAUUUCGUAGUUUUAUUAAUUUACUUAUGUUGAAAAAAUUAUUUGAAACAUUAAUUUUUUCAGAUUCUUCAAGGUUAUACAUUUAGACAAUCACGUACGUUACAAUCAUUACAUCAUAUCAUACUUUGAGCGAAAAAAA